rnacentral:lncRNA from 1 species
CAGGACUAAAGAUAUGGAGAGAUGCUCUCAAAUUACACUGGAGAUUUGAAGCGUGAAUCAAAUUCCGUCCCCACACACAAAAGAUAUGAUUCUACACACAGAAAAGAUAAAACAAAUCAUGAAUUUAGAUGAUUUUGCUUAAUCCCUUCUAUAUCUCGAUUCUUUCCGAAUUUUCUAUAAAUAUUUUUAUUACUUUUUAAUCAGAAGUUAUACUUCAGAUGAAUCUAAAAAAUGCUCUAAAUUGAGAGCUUUGAUAAGAACUUGAAAGCAAACUGUUUAAUAAUUUAAGCAGAAAUCUAAUCACUUGUAUCCUGGACUGUGUGAACAAAGGGAUUUGAUUAGCUUAGACAAAUAACUCUUAUGCUACAGAGGCAAAGCCAGGAGAGCUUGUGGGAAAUGCAAAUUCAUUUCAUCAGUUCCAAUUCUGUACAUCUGGGUAAGAGCAGAAACCUGCAUCUCAUCAAGCUACAAGAUGAUUUUAACGUUGGUGGGGCCACCCUUUGAUCAACUCUGGCCAAAAGACAAGCCCAAGGCAUCAAAAUUUCAGAGACUCUCCAUCCAGAAACAAUGCUGUUCUGACCCAGGGAAUUCCAGGGUUCUGGCCCCUGUUGUAGAUGCUUCUGUAGACAUGACACUAUCUCCCCUGCGUUCAUCCAUGCUUUUUUAGCAGAUUUCCUAUGAUUGGCUUUCCUUGUGGUUUUUCUAAGAAGAAAAUAUUACUGCUUUGUCAAUAGUGGCAGUUGGGUUUGUCUGUCUUCUCUGUAACAUAAUAAAUUGGUACUCAGUUUAUAGAUCGGUCUCUCUGAGUUCAGUUAAUGUGAAUCUACUCCCCUGAAAAUUUGGUCCAUUUUCAGACAGGCAUGUAAGCUAUAAUAGCUGGAAUCUCUUAGCAAGGAGUUAGUGAGCCUCUUUCUCACAAUAGUAUAUCCAUUGUUAUUGCCAACCUGUCAGCACUUUCCAUGUUUCUGAUACAGCAUCUUGAAUUUCCUUUGGGAAUCACUCCAAGAUUCUUCCAAAAUCCAAAAAUAGCCCCUUACUCUAGGCCCAUCUAUUUGAACUCAACCUUAAGAGUUUUGAUUAAAAUAAAGGUAAAGCUUAGAUCCAUUGGUCUUUGUCAUGGAGCCACAAGGGGAAAAACAUGCUUGAGAAUGAAGCCACUAUGAACAAAAGAACUAAGAGUCAGACAUAAAUUAGAGCUAGAGAAAGACAAAGAGAUAAUA